GAUCCUGGCUCAGGACGAACGCUGGCGGCGUGCCUAACACAUGCAAGUCGAGCGGAGACAGUGAGUAGCUUGCUAUGAGCUGUUUUAGCGGCGGACGGGUGAGUAACGCGUGAGCAACCUUUCCCAGACAGGGGAAUAACACACCGAAAGGUGUACUAAUACCGCAUAAAACCACGGAAUCACAUGGUUCUGGGGUAAAAGAUUUAUCGGUUUGGGGUGGGCUCGCGUCCGAUUAGGUAGUUGGUGAGGUAACGGCCC
rnacentral:rRNA from 1 species